UUACUUCAUGUCUCAUGUAGUCUUCUCACUUACAGUUUGGUAGACAUGAAGCUCUAAAAAGGUCAGGAAAAAGUUUCUCAGCCAUCAUAGAAAAAAAGCGCCCAAAAACUUCAGCAAAAAGUGACAAAAAUUAAGUGGGCCAA